GUGACGCGCUGCCCGCCAGGCUGCGGGGGUCGCGGGGCGUCCGCGUGGGCCAGCGGAGGCCCACAGCUGCGGAGGGAAACCACUGGGAGGGGAGAAGGAGCUCUAGGGAGAGCGAGGCUGCAACGAGGGGAGAGCCGGGCGACGGGCAGGGGCCCAGGCGCGCUCCCCGACUUCCCACAGGCGCGCGCAUGCCUGCGUGUCAGGGCGCGCGCUCCCCCUCUCGGACCGAGGCGACCCCAGUCCGUGAGCGGCUUGGAUCCUCGCCCGUUCCCUCCUGGUCGUUUCCGCAGUAACCUCUUAUCAGAGCGGGCAGCUGUGAGUGGCGCUCACAUCCGCCGCUGCCCUGUCGAAUGGGGGAAAGAGUUCUUGUGUUCUGAGGAGGGUUUGGCUAUGGUCCUUGACCCUAUUCUUGUCUCAGACUUGCCUCCCAGAGGUCCUUUAUCGAGUGCCAGGCAUUGGUCUAGGGGCAUUUGAAAAAGAUUCACUGAAGGACAUUUUUAAGAGUUCGCUUUCUCAGAGGGCAGCUUCUCAAACUCAUUCGCUGGUUUCUUUUCCUCUUUCCGCCUGUUUAAGGAAUAUAGGAGGAUUGUAUGCCCUGGCCUCCCUGUGAUGGGGUUGAACUACAUGACAUGUUCUCCGAAUUAAGUGUGAGCAUAGCAUUUAAUUGUUGAUGCAAGACCUUCCAGAACUCUUUUUCUCUUUGCCAUGGCAAUCAUCAGUGUUCCAGAGAGCAUAUGCACGAUCAGCCUUGGUAUUGGAGGGAAGAUGAUGCGGAACAGAGUCCCAGUCACAUCAUGAAGGACAUGUAAAAUGCUGUAGAAGAACCUCUUCUGCAAGACCAUUCAUUCAUGCCUUGAGACAGUAUGAAUCAAGCUGACUUUUUUUUUUUCCAAGGAGUUUUUAAACUAUAUAUGUGACACCCCGAUGAAUAAGAAGAGCAGCCAGCUGAGAAGGGGAACUCUACAAAGCUAUUUUUUCAACAGCUGUGACUGACCCACUCACCUCACAGGACUCCAGUGGGCACUAAUGGAAAUGGAGAGAAAGACAAACAAGAUGACCCUGUUAGCUCCCUGUGUACUGCAGAUGUGGUGUAGGCUGUGCUCCGAACUUAGAGAGAAGAAGGAAGAGAGGACAACCCCUCUAUCCCCAAAUUCUCUUCCAACCCUGUUCUGCCAGCCAUCUGAUUGGAAGCAAGAGGGAAGGGAGGCCUGUGGUGACCUCUCUCUUGACAACAGGGGAAAACCUGACCCUAGAAAAAUCAGCUCAAUCAAUAUCAUGUGAUCUUAUCAAAGCAAGCAACCCUACUCCCUAAACUGGUGGAAACGGUGUGAAUGUCAACUAGAGUUCUAUACUUUAAAAACAACAAAAAUAUUGCAAAUUUUGAGUAUCCUUCCUAAAGAAAACAACAUAUUGUAAUCUUGUUUUCUGUUAGAUAAAUCUCUGUUAAAAAGAAGCUUUGUUGGAACUCUCAAGUCUCUAAAAAAUAAAUCAGCCAUCUUUUGAUUGCUUAGGGACCCAUGAAAAAGUCUGAGCACACACGCAUUCUUUACGAUGAGUCUCUGGCACUAAACCAGAGCCCUAGUGAGUGAGGCUGAGUCAUG
rnacentral:lncRNA from 1 species